GGAGGGGCCAUGAUUCAGUGGUGGAGCAUCUGCUUGGCAUGCGGAAGGUCCCGGGUUCAAUCCCUGGCGUCUCCA
rnacentral:tRNA from 1 species